GGCCGAGUGUGGGUGAAUAAAAUACCUUCGGGGAAUAAGCCCGCUUGCCUUCGUACAAGUUUUGAGCACUUGGCCGCCUGAGC
rnacentral:ncRNA from 1 species